GAUGAACGCUGGCGGCGUGCUUAACACAUGCAAGUCGAGCGAACAGAGGAGAAGCUUGUCUCUUUGAUGUUAGCGGCGCGCGGGUGAGUAACAUGUAGAUAACCUCCCUAUCUGACUAGGAUAACUUCGGGACAGCGGAGCUAAUCCCAGACGAUACAUAGAACCGCGUGUAUUGAUUGUGAAAGAUUGCUUUGCUGGCUCGUCUAGAUGGACUUCAGCCGUAUUAGCUAGUUGGUAAGGACAAGGCUUACCACGGCAACGAUACGUAGCCGAGCUGAGAGGGGGGUAGGCCACAUGAGAACGGAAACACGGUCCAGACUCCUACGGGAGGCAGCAGUAGGGUACCUGCCGCAGUAGGCGAAAGCCUUACGCAGCAACGCCGCGUGAGUUGUGGAGGCGUUGCGAUCGGGAAGCUGUGUUAUUAGGGAUGAACAAAUGUGUAAGUAACAGAACACGACUUGACGGUACCUGCAGAGGAAGCCACGGCUAACUACGUG
rnacentral:rRNA from 1 species